rnacentral:ncRNA from 1 species
CAUACAGUUUCAGGGGCCCUUGGUACAGGCAGGCCGAGAAGCCCCCUCUUUACAUGCACCACCCGCUGCCCGGUCCCGCGUCGAGCCCCGCUCCGCGACCGAACAGCGGCAAACCCUUUCGGGGGCCCAGGUACAGGCAGGCCGGGGAUUCCCCUUUCUUACAACCGCUCGCCGCCGUCGCCCCAGGCACGGCAACGGGCAAAACCCUUUCGGGGACCUUGGUACAGGCAGGCCGGGGAAUCCCCCUUCUUAAAGCCGCUC